UACGGGGGGAGCAAGCGUUGUUCGGAUUUACUGGGCGUAAAGGGCGCGUAGGCGGCGCAACAAGUCACUUGUGAAAUCUCCGGGCUUAACCCGGAGCGGCCAAGUGAUACUGUCGUGCUAGAGUGCGGAAGGGGCUACUGGAAUUCUCGGUGUAGCGGUGAAAUGCGUAGAUAUCGAGAGGAACAUCUGCGGCGAAGGCGGGUAGCUGGGCCGACACUGACGCUGAGGCGCGAAAGCCAGGGGAGCGAACGGG
rnacentral:rRNA from 1 species